GAUGAAGAACGCAGCGAAAUGCGAUAAGUAAUGUGAAUUGUAGAAUUCAGUGAAUCAUCGAAUCUUUGAACGCACAUUGCGCCCGCCAGUAUUCUGGCGGGCAUGCCUGUUCGAGCGUCAUUUCAACCAUCAAGCCCCCGGGCUUGUGUUGGGGACCUGCGGCUGCCGCAGGCCCUGAAAAGCAGUGGCGGGCUCGCUGUCACACCGAGCGUAGUAGAUUUUAUCUCGCUCUGGGCGUGCUGCGGGUUCCGGCCGUUAAACCACCCUUUUAACCCAAGGUUGACCUCGGAUCAGGUAGGAAGACCCGCUGAACUUAAGCAUAUCAAUAAGCGGAGGA
rnacentral:misc_RNA from 1 species